GGGAGUAUGUUCGCAAGGCUGAAACUUAAAGGAAUUGACGGAAGGGCACCACCAGGUGUGGAGCCUGCGGCUUAAUUUGACUCAACACGGGGAAACUCACCAGGUCCAGACAUGACUAGGAUUGACAGAUUGAUAGCUCUUUCAUGAUUUUAUGGGUGGUGGUGCAUGGCCGUUCUUUAGUUGGUGGAGUGAUUUGUCUGGUUAAUUCCGAUAACGAACGAGACCUUAACCUGCUAAAUAGCCAGGCCGGCUUUUGCUGGUCGCCGGCUUCUUAGAGGGACUGUCUGCGUCUAGCAGACGGAAGUUUGAGGCAAUAACAGGUCUGUGAUGCCUUUAGAUGUUCUGGGCCGCACGCGCGCUACACUGACAGAGCCAGCGAGUUUUUUUCCUUGGCCGGAAGGUCUGGGUAAUCUUGUGAAACUCUGUCGUGCUGGGGAUAGAGCAUUGCAAUUAUUGCUCUUCAACGAGGAAUACCUAGUAAGCGUGAGUCAUCAGCUCGCA
rnacentral:rRNA from 1 species